rnacentral:rRNA from 1 species
AUUGAACGCUGGCGGCAGGCCUAACACAUGCAAGUCGAGCGGAUGAAGGGAGCUUGCUCCUGGAUUCAGCGGCGGACGGGUGAGUAAUGCCUAGGAAUCUGCCUGGUAGUGGGGGAUAACGUCCGGAAACGGGCGCUAAUACCGCAUACGUCCUGAGGGAGAAAGUGGGGGAUCUUCGGACCUCACGCUAUCAGAUGAGCCUAGGUCGGAUUAGCUAGUUGGUGGGGUAAAGGCCUACCAAGGCGACGAUCCGUAACUGGUCUGAGAGGAUAAUCAGUCACACUGGAACUGAGACACGGUCCAGACGCCUACGGGAGGCAGCAGUGGGGAAUAUUGGACAAUGGGCGAAAGCCUGAUCCAGCCAUGCCGCGUGUGUGAAGAAGGUCUUCGGAUUGUAAAGCACUUUAAGUUGGGAGGAAGGGCAGUAAGUUAAUACCUUGCUGUUUUGACGUUACCAACAGAAUAAGCACCGGCUAACUUCGU